GAUGAACGCUGGCGGCGUGCCUAAUACAUGCAAGUCGAGCGAACAGACGAGGAGCUUGCUCCUCUGACGUUAGCGGCGGACGGGUGAGUAACACGUGGAUAACCUACCUAUAAGACUGGGAUAACUUCGGGAAACCGGAGCUAAUACCGGAUAAUAUAUUGAACCGUCUGGUUCAAUAUUGAAAGACGGUUUUGCUGUCACUUAUAGAUGGAUACGCGCCGCAUUAGCUAGUUGGUAAGGUAACGGCUUACCAAGGCAACGAUGCGUAGCCGACGUGAGAGGGUGAUCGGCCACACUGGAACUGAGACACGGUCCAGACUCCUACGGGAGGCAGCAGUAGGGAAUCUUCCGCAAUGGGCUAAAGCGUGACGGAGCAACGCCGCGUGAGUGAUGAAGGUCUUCGGAUCGUAAAACUCUGUUAUUAGGGAAGAACAAAUGUGUAAGUAACUAUGCACGUCUUGACGGUACCUAAUCAGAAAGCCACGGCUAACUACGUG
rnacentral:rRNA from 1 species